GACGAACGCUGGCGGCGUGCUUAACACAUGCAAGUCGAACGAAGUGGCGAACGGGUGAGUAACGCGUAAUCAACCUGCCCUUCAGAGGGGGCCAACAGUUGGAAACGACUGCUAAUACCGCACACUGAAGGACGGGACUGCGUCUGAUUAGCUUGUUGGGGGGGUAACGGCCCAACAAGGCGAUGAACAGUAGCCGGUCUGGGAGGAGGAACGGCCACAAUGGGACUGAGAAACGGCCCAGAAGCCUACGGGAGGCAGCAGUGAGGAAUCUUCCGCAAUGGACGAAAGUCAGACGGGGCAACGCCGCGUGAGUGAUGACGGGCUUCGGGUUGUAAAGCUCUGUUAGUCGAGACGCGGUACCGGGAUAAAAAGCCACGGCGAACUACGUGCCAGCAGCCGCGGUAAUUC
rnacentral:rRNA from 1 species